rnacentral:lncRNA from 1 species
AGCAAAGGACGGACUGUUUGAGAUAAAGACAUUUAAUUGACACAUCUGCUGAUUCACAGAGACCUGCAUGUUCUUUAGCUGUGCUAUUCCACCACAAAGCCUGUCUUGUGGUAGAGUUGUUGCUGCUGUGCCACUCUGAUGCAAGGAACAUUAUCUGGACUUGUGCUGGUAACUGCAGGGCACAACCCCUGGCUUUGUCAUCUUCACCAUUUCAGCGGUCCUUCAGACCCACAUACAUGUGCAGGGCACAGAAAAGUAAUUUCCACCUUGGGGGCCCAUGAAAUUUGUCAUGCAGCGUGCAGUUAUAGGUCUUCCUGCAGGCUAUUUGGAGUCCUUGCAGCUGUGAGGGAAUUGCAUGGCAGAUCCAGGCUGGAUAUCACUUAGCUGCACAUCCCAUAGAGGAAUGGGACCUUCCUGGACCCCCUGCCCCCAGUGACACAAGGAUGUCCAGGACUUUAAUUUCUACCAAAAUGUGUGAUGACAAUAAUGAAAAACUGAAGCUGUCCUAACACUGUAGCAAUCAGGUAUUGAAGCUUUGACACCAGCGUUAACUGUUAGGCACAGACCAUUUUGAUAGCAGUUAUCACAUGGGUAAAACCAUUGCCUCCCUCCCUCUCACCUGCUUCAUCCCUUUAACAAAAGGUGUCUAUAUGUAUCAAAGUUUGUGCUGAGAAAGUCCUGCUUAGUCAUGAUGUGAGUAAUGACUUCCAGAUCUGAGAGUGGAGGGACUCUUAUGCUUGGAACAAGGGCUUGCCUUACUGGCAUUUCUCUUCAGAAUAUGUAGCAGAUCUUUGAUAGAUAGAUCUGUGAUAGAAUGUAAUUAAAUUUAUCAGGUUCCAAAAUUCAGAGAAAAUCUAAUACUUCCACGAUUUUCCGUAGCUCCACAAGAAUGUUUGACAGAAUUUGCAAUGCUUAUUAUAGCAGUGGAUAUCAGUCUGUGGAGAGCAUUUUGAAGAGCAGAGUGCUACCAUAGGUAACAGCAAGGUGAGCUUGCUACCAGAGCACUGGGACAGUGCAGAGAGUGUUACUCUUUCUAAAACACUCCACAGGCCAACAGAACACAGCCAAGCAGACAAAUAGUUGUGUUUCUCUCCUUUGUAUUAAGCUGUGUAGUAUCCCUCAGAAGGCCCUGCAGCAAAGAAGGAUUGAUGCAUGUAACAGUGAAUUUCAUCCUGCUCCUCGAGGACGGGAGGCAAUUUCUGUGCCUUUCCUCUUCAUUUUAUGUGGUUCACCAUGCCCUUUGCUUCAUGCUUUUCAAGUCCUUGAGCAUAAUCAAAAUAGUACAUGCUGUCUGUAACCUCAAAGUAAGGCAGAUAAUUUAGAAAAUGUUUCCACAUAUCCUUUCUUCCCUGAUUUUUCAUUUGACCUCAGAUUAUUUUGGUUUCUUUUUGGCAUCUAAUAUCAAAGACUACAGCUGAAGUCAGCCCUACAAAAGAUAUGUGAAGAGCAACAUCACAUUUUCAGACUGAGAAGGGUUCUUGUCUGGAUGGUAUAAUUUUGAAGAAGUCUCAUUUGCCUGCAAUAAAAUAUUAAUUCAAUGCUUUCCA